rnacentral:rRNA from 1 species
CAGUAGCCACGGUAACACGUAGGUGGCGAGCGUUGUCCGGAAUUAUUGGGCGUAAAGGGAGCGCAGGCGGGCGAGUAAGUCUUUCUUAAAAGUGCGGGGCUCAACCCCGUGAGGGGAGAGAAACUACUCAUCUUGAGUGCAGGAGAGGAAAGCGGAAUUCCUAGUGUAGCGGUGAAAUGCGUAGAUAUUAGGAAGAACACCAGUGGCGAGGCGGCUUUCUGGACUGUAACUGACGCUGAGGCUCGAAAGCCAGGGGAGCGAACGGGAUUAGAUACCCGCGUAGUCCCUGUCUCUUAUACAC